rnacentral:rRNA from 1 species
AGUCGAACGAUGAAGCCCUUCGGGGUGGAUUAGUGGCGAACGGGUGAGUAACACGUGGGCAAUCUGCCCUUCACUCUGGGACAAGCCCUGGAAACGGGGUCUAAUACCGGAUAACACUCCUCAGGGCAUCUUGAGGGGUUAAAAGCUCCGGCGGUGAAGGAUGAGCCCGCGGCCUAUCAGCUUGUUGGUGGGGUGAUGGCCUACCAAGGCGACGACGGGUAGCCGGCCUGAGAGGGCGACCGGCCACACUGGGACUGAGACACGGCCCAGACUCCUACGGGAGGCAGCAGUGGGGAAUAUUGCACAAUGGGCGAAAGCCUGAUGCAGCGACGCCGCGUGAGGGAUGACGGCCUUCGGGUUGUAAACCUCUUUCAGCAGGGAAGAAGCGAAAGUGACGGUACCUGCAGAAGAAGCGCCGGCUAACUACGUGCCAGCAGCCGCGGUAAUACGUAGGGCGCAAGCGUUGUCCGGAAUUAUUGUGCGUAAAGAGCUCGUAGGCGGCUUGUCACGUCGGAUGUGAAAGCCCGGGGCUUAACCUCGGGUCUGCAUUCGAUACGGGCUAGCUAGAG